AGAUUGAACGCUGGCGGCAUGCUUUACACAUGCAAGUCGAACGGUAACAGGCCGCAAGGUGCUGACGAGUGGCGAACGGGUGAGUAAUGUAUCGGAACGUGCCCAGUCGUGGGGGAUAACGCAGCGAAAGCUGCGCUAAUACCGCAUACGAUCUAUGGAUGAAAGCGGGGGACCGUAAGGCCUCGCGCGAUUGGAGCGGCCGAUAUCAGAUUAGGUAGUUGGUGGGGUAAAGGCUCACCAAGCCAACGAUCUGUAGCUGGUCUGAGAGGACGACCAGCCACACUGGGACUGAGACACGGCCCAGACUCCUACGGGAGGCAG
rnacentral:rRNA from 1 species